AAAAACAUUUGCUCUUUUCUUCUGAAUUAGCAGCCAGAAAGACGUAGUCCAGAAAGCUGUUGGUAGACUUAUUCUGAUUACUUGGGCUCUGAGAAAGGAGAAAAAAAGAGGAAGAAAAAUGAAUCUUGGCUCAAUUUGGAUACUUUAAUUAUGCACUGCUUGCUUUGAUUAUCUCAGUAUUAUUUGCAUUCCCUGCCUGCACAUCAAGAGAGAGUUCCAGAGUCCCAGACCUCAGGAAUUUCCUUUGUGGCGUACGGCCUCAAGAAAAGAUGACAAACACUUCAAUUAGCCUUCCCUCCAAUCACCAUUCGGGGAGAAGUGUGUGGGGGGACGUUCUCCGACCUCAGUGGAAAACAUCGCGGGCGGGCAGGGAGCAGCUGGCAGAGCAUCGACACGGUUCACAAACACGCUAGAGGCACUGGCUGUGGCAGACAAAGCCUGCCUUUUGGGGAAGACACGUGAAGCCCACUCCUCUAAGUGCUUCCUCUGGAGUCACACCACAGGGCUGACUUUUUCUUUGCUUUCAGCCGCAGCCGCUGACUCAAGGAGAUGAGGCAGCUUUGUCUUUCCUGCUGCAGAGCUCAUUUGGCUGCCGGGCCAUCUUUCGGGACUGGGCACCUGAAGAUGGAUGUGGAGAGGAAGGAACUGGAGAGCGCAGACAGGCAGGCAUCUGAGAAGCCGGCCUCCCGGGGCCAGGUGCUCGAAGAUGAAGGGGUCGCUUCCCGCGCGCGCGGCUGUGCCACCUCGGACAUCCCGGUGAGGCCCAACGGGGAUUUUCAGGUGAGCGGCUAAAACCACUGGUUUGUGCAGUUCAGCUAACACCCUAUUAUCUGACAGAAUGAGAAUGAGGGGAGAAGAGGGGGAAGGAGACCCUCUACUCGGAAGUAUGCCUUUUGCUCAGUCAACAUUCUCAUUUAUGAAUUGACGAUGAGGUUAUUCAUCCCAAGUGACAGCAGAAGGAUAAAUAAAAGCAACAUAUGCAAAAAAGUCCACCAGGGCUCCGGCCCACAGAAGAUACGCGGUCACCUGGUGCGAAUCUAAACCUCGCUCCUGGUGCCGGAGCCAGUCGCAGCCUGCGGGGGGAGGGGCAGCUCCAGGGCAUGGCGGGAAGCCCAUCGUCACUUCCAGAUGCACCAGUUCCCACAGUCACACGUGUGACCCUGUGCCCAAGGCGGCCACCCCCACUGAGUCCAGCGCGCUAGUUACUAAGCCGAGUGCCUCUCAGCUUCAGAUCCAUCCUUCUGUUCUCCAGUCUGGGACUCUGGAAACGGCAUUUUUCUCUUGAUAGCUGGUUCUCUGAGAAUCAGCCCGUAGAGAAAACUAGAGGAAGACAGGAAGGCGGGAAGAGGAGAGCACAUCCGUGCACGUGGUUCCCGACGCCAGCUUGCCCCUGCGCGCCCCACAUCAGCCUCCGUGUCUGCGCCGCCCCAGCAGAGACGUCAGCACCAGCCGGCCGUGCCCCUUCUCAGGUGUCCGAGUGCCAGCUCCGUGGAAUGCCUCCUCAAGUUUCUAGGUUCUGAUAACCCUGUGUCCUCCCUGUGUUUUCCUAACCUGAGAAACGAUGGGGGCUUUCUGUAGUUAAUAUUGCUACAUUAUUGUGGUGUGCCCUUUUUGCCUUUUUACUUCUUGAGCCCUUAGAGUACUGUACACACCCUGAUGCGUGUUGCUUUUUGCACAUUACAAUGUAUAUUGCAGGUAUUUGUGCAUAGAGGCCUUCCUCAGUUCAUUAUAUUAGCUGCAUAAAAUUUCUUUAGGUUGAUGUCUCUGCGUAGAAUUUCUUUAGGUUGAUGUGUCAUUAUUUAACUAGUCUCUUAUUGGUGGACGUUUGGUUUAUUUCAGUAUUUUGCCAGUUCACACAAUGCUUCAAUGAAUGAUACAGCAACAUUACAUACCCAUACAUCAUUUUGCAUACGUGCAAGUUUAUCUGUGGGACACAUUUUCUGAAGUGACGUUGCCAGGAUCUAAGGAAGGACAUACUCAUUUGGAUGUUGCCAAACUGCCCUCCGCAGGGACUGUACCAGUUUACACUCAUGCUAACAAUGUAUGGGAAUAUCUGCUUCCCCUCAGCUUCCCCAGCAGAGUGUUAUAAACCACUUCUGGAGUCAAUAAAGUGAGUCUUUCAUUGA